AACGUAGGAGACAAACGUUAUCCGGAGUUACUGGGCGUAAAGGGCGUGUAGGCGGUCUGUUAAGUCUGGCGUGAAAGCUCUCGGCUAAACCGGGAGAGGUCGUUGGAUACUGGCAGACUAGAGGACGGUAGAGGCGUGUGGAAUUCCUGGUGUAGCGGUGAAAUGCGCAGAUAUCAGGAGGAACACCGGUGGCGAAGGCGGAUCUCUGGGCCUUACCUGACGCUCAGGUGCGAAAGCUAGGGGAGCGAACAGG
rnacentral:rRNA from 1 species